rnacentral:rRNA from 1 species
UACGUAGGGGGCUAGCGUUGUCCGGAAUCAUUGGGCGUAAAGCGCGUGUAGGCGGUCCGGUAAGUCCGCUGUGAAAGUCGGGGGCUCAACCCUCGGAUGCCGGUGGAUACUGUCGGGCUUGAGUACGGAAGAGGCGAGUGGAAUUCCGUGGUGUAGCGGUGAAAUGCGCAGAUAUCAGGAGGAACACCAAUUGCGAAGGCAGCUCGCUGGGACGUUACUGACGCUGAGACGCGAAAGCGUGGGGAGCAAACAGG